rnacentral:rRNA from 1 species
UACGUAGGGUGCGAGCGUUAAUCGGAAUUACUGGGCGUAAAGCGUGCGCAGGCGGUGAUGUAAGACAGUUGUGAAAUCCCCGGGCUCAACCUGGGAACUGCAUCUGUGACUGCAUCGCUGGAGUGCGGCAGAGGGGGAUGGAACUCCGCGUGUAGCAGUGAAAUGCGUAGAUAUGCGGAGGAACACCGAUGGCGAAGGCAAUCCCCUGGGCCUGCACUGACGCUCAUGCACGAAAGCGUGGGGAGCAAACAGG